ACCUGGGUAGUGCAAAUGGUUAACAUGCUGGGUUGCAAACCAAAAGGUCGGUGAUUAGAGUCCACCCAGAGGUG
rnacentral:tRNA from 1 species